GGUCCAUGAGGACGUCCCCACAAUGCGUGAAUGUUUUUCUUUAACAUUUUUAAUUAACUGGUCGUCCUCAUACCCUGUCCGGUAUGAGUGCCAAAUUACUAAAUCUCGAUACUCCGUCUAGUAUGAGGGUGAAACGGGCCGUCCACAUACCCCGUCUAGUAUGAGGGUGAAACGGGCCGUCCACAUACCCCGUCUGGUAUGAGCGCUAAAUUACCAAAACCUUGAU
rnacentral:lncRNA from 1 species